CACUUCUUUUUCUCUCUCUGUUUCUUUAUUUCAUUAUAGGUAACUCAAUAGAUAAAAGAACAGCCGUUUCACUGCUUUGUUAAGAAAUGUGCUUUCCUCCCGCUUGACUGUCACAGAUUCCACCACCAGGAGGCCCUCAUUCCAAUGCUUAUAGCUAGGCAAGGAAAACACAAGGAGAGUGAAGAGGAGAAGCCCAUCCACACAAAAACACACUCCAAGAAGCUCCAAGAAGCUCCACUAACUGGGACUAUUCCCACUUGGAACCAGAAGAAUUCAAGAUAAACAAAUUGCUGUCACCAAAGAGAGUCAUAAGAACACUGAGAUUCCUUCAAGAUGAGAAGCAGUUCAGAGAAGACUGGUCAUCAUUCCCCAGGCAACACUCACUGGCUCUAUUGUACUCACUAGCCAAGAUCCAAGAUACAGCAGACAUUUCCUUUAGAAAAGAAGUAAGGGAAGAAUGUGGUACAGGGAAAAUUAUACUUAACUUUGACCUAUGCACCAAGUGCUUAAAUAUUGUAAAGAAUCUCAUCUUUUUAAUGGGAGGGAGGGGAUGUCAUAUUUAGAAACUGGU